CGGUGGAUGCCUUGGCGACAAGAGGCGAUGAAGGACGUGAUACGCUGCGAUAAGCGUCGGGGAGCUGCGAAUAAGCUUUGAUCCGGCGAUUUCCGAAUGGGGCAACCCACUCCGUAUGGAGUACCCGCAAGGGAGCAAACCCGGGGAACUGAAACAUCUAAGUACCCGGAGGAAAGGAAAUCAACAGAUACUCCGCUAGUAGUGGCGAGCGAACGCGGACCAGCCGAGCCAUGAGAAUGACCAGAAUGAUCUGGAAAGAUCAGCCAGAGCGGGUGACAGCCCCGUAUGGGAAGUUCAAUUGGACGUAUUAAGUAGGGCGGGACACGUGUAAUCCUGUCUGAAGAUCGGGGGACCACCCUCGAAGGCUAAGUACUCCUUACUGACCGAUAGCGAACCAGUACCGUGAGGGAAAGGUGAAAAGCACCCCGACGAGGGGAGUGAAACAGUUUCUGAAACCGGACGCCUACAAGCAGUCGGAGGAGCCUUGAGCUCUGACGGCGUACCUUUUGUAUAAUGGGUCAACGACUUGGUCUAUCGAGCAAGCUUAAGCCGUUAGGUGUAGGCGUAGCGAAAGCGAGUCUUAACAGGGCGAAUAAGUUCGAUGGAUCAGACCCGAAACCAGAUGAUCUAGCCAUGUGCAGGCUGAAGGUGAGGUAACACUCACUGGAGGGCCGAACCGACACCCGUUGAAAAGGGUCCGGAUGACGUGUGGCUAGGGGUGAAAGGCCAAUCAAAUCUGGAGAUAGCUGGUUCUCCGCGAAAGCUAUUUAGGUAGCGCGUCGAUUGUAUUCUCCCGGGGGUAGAGCACUGCAUGGAUGAUGGGGGCCCACAGCCUUACUGAGUCUAAGCAAACUCCGAAUACCGGGAAGAACUGAUCGGCAGACACACGGCGGGUGCUAACGUCCGUCGUGGAGAGGGAAACAACCCUGACCAACAGCUAAGGCCCCCAAUUCAUGGCUAAGUGGGAAAGCAUGUGAGACUUCCAAAACAACCAGGAGGUUGGCUUAGAAGCAGCCAUCCUUUAAAGAUAGCGUAACAGCUCACUGGUCUAGUCAAGAGGUCUUGCGGCGAAGAUGUAACGGGGCUCAAGCCAUGAGCCGAAGCUUUGGAUGCACAGUGAUGUGCGUGGUAGCGGAGCGUUCU
rnacentral:rRNA from 1 species